rnacentral:lncRNA from 1 species
CAUUUCAGAACGAACUUCGUAGGAACCUGAAUUGUCCGAUUUCAAGGACCAAUCGAUAUCGGAUUGAGUCCAAAACUUGGGGAACAUCAUAAUAUUGUGGGAGGAGUCAUUUGGUCGGUUUUGAGUGAAAUCCAAUCUUUAGAACUAUACAAUACACCAACCACCCCAUUUCAGAACGAACUUCGUAGGAUCCUGAAUUGUCCGAUUUCAAGGACUAGUCGAUAUCGGAUUGAGUCCAAAACUUGGGGAACAUCAUAAUAUUGUGGGAGGAGUCAUUUGGUGGGUUUUGAGUGAAAUCCAAUCUCUAGAACUAUACAAUACCCCAACCACCCCAUUUCAGAACGAACUUCGUACGAACCAGAAUUGUCCGAUUUCAAGGACCAAUCGAUAUCGGAUUGAGUCCAAAACUUGG